GACGAACGCUGGCGGCGUGCUUAACACAUGCAAGUCGAACGAAGAGCGAUGGAUGCUUUCUUCUAUCAAUCUUAGUGGCGAACGGGUGAGUAACGCGUAAUCAACCUGCCCUUCAGGGGUGGACAACAGUUGGAAACGACUGCUAAUACCGCAUACGAUCUAAACUCGGCAUCGAGGAUAGAUGAAAGGUGGCCUCUACAUGUAAGCUAUCACUGCAGGAGGGGGUUGGGUUUGAUUAGCUAGUUGGCGGGGUAACGGACCAUCAAGGCGAUGAUCAGUGGCAGGUAUGAGAGGAUGAACGGCCACAUUGGGACUGAGACACGGCCCAGACGCCUACGGGAGGCAGCAGGAGUGAAUCGUCAGCAAUGGACGAGAGUCUGACGGAGCAAGGCCGCGUGAGGGAUGACGGACUUCGGGUUGUAGAGCUCUGUUAAUCGGGACGAAAGGCCUUCUUGCGAAUAGUGAGAAGGAUUGACGGUACCGGAAUAGAAAGCCACGGCUAACUACGUG
rnacentral:rRNA from 1 species